rnacentral:rRNA from 1 species
AUUGAACGCCGGCGGCAGGCUUAACACAUGCAAGUCGAGCGGAGAUGAGGUGCUUGCACCUUAUCUUAGCGGCGGACGGGUGAGUAAUGCUUAGGAAUCUGCCUAUUAGUGGGGGACAACAUUCCGAAAGGAAUGCUAAUACCGCAUACGUCCUACGGGAGAAAGCAGGGGAUCUUCGGACCUUGCGCUAAUAGAUGAGCCUAAGUCGGAUUAGCUAGUUGGUGGGGUAAAGGCCUACCAAGGCGACGAUCUGUAGCGGGUCUGAGAGGAUGAUCCGCCACACUGGGACUGAGACACGGCCCAGACUCCUACGGGAGGCAGCAGUGGGGAAUAUUGGACAAUGGGGGAAACCCUGAUCCAGCCAUGCCGCGUGUGUGAAGAAGGCCUUAUGGUUGUAAAGCACUUUAAGCGAGGAGGAGGCUACUAAGACUAAUACUCUUGGAUAGUGGACGUUACUCGCAGAAUAAGCACCGGCUAACUCUGUGCCAGCAGCCGCCGUAA